CGUGUUUUUUUUGCCCAGCUGAAGGAUUGAUCACCCUGAGGCUGCCUUCCCCACCCUUCGAGUCAAAGAUAGGGGUGCGCGAGUCCUGAGCAUGCUCCGAGUUUUUGUGUGUCUUCAUGUUGUUAUCAUUGCUGGAUUUCCGUGAGUAUGGAAUCGGAUGGAAAGGAUCAUUCUGAACAGACAGAUGCACCACAUAUGUAGUCUAUACCAGUUUAUUCCUGUGCUGGACCAAUCGGGACUGAGGAGUGAGCCACACCACCUGAGCCAGCCACCAGAGUCCAGGGGUCCUGAAAGUCCACCAAGCUCCAGGAAGACCUCAUGAGGCAGCAUGUCAACUUCUUUCGCAACAUGCAGCAGACCCUGGCACAGAAGAUCCAGGAGGACGCAGAGUGGAGGAACUGCACCUGGGACCAGCUCAUGCAGUGGUGCAAUAGCAUGUGUGCCAUCAUGCGUGAUAUGAUGGCACAUGCAGAUGCUAUUGCUGCUCCUGCUUACCAUCCUCCUGCCCCCUCCCCACUAUGCCCAUUCCCCCUCGCCCUGCCCCCCCAAGCAAUGCCUCUUCUGCUUCCCCAAACAAUGCCCAUGCCCCCUCCCUAAGUGAGGCCUAUGCCCUCUCUUUUUCCCCCUCCCUGCCAUCCCUGACCUUGCUCCAGCCCCCCUGUGUACUCCCUCUGUGGUCCCAGAACCCACCCCAAGUCCGAUGAGGUCUCCGAGCUCCAAUUGGCACAUCCAGCUAGUCCCAACACCACUCUAAGCGCCCCCUCCAGGUUUUGAGCCCUCUUCUCCAGCUUUUCUUUAAUGAAAGAUCAAUACACGGUUCAUUUUGUUUAAAACCAAACAGGUGUCUUUAUUGAGAGGUCAAGGAAGGGGUG